UACGUAGGGUCCGAGCGUUAAUCGGAAUUACUGGGCGUAAAGCGUGCGCAGGCGGUUUUGUAAGCCAGAUGUGAAAGCCCCGGGCUUAACCCGGGAAUGGCAUUGAAUACUGCAGAUCUGGAGGAUUGGAGGGGGGACUGGAAUUCUUGGUGUAGCAGUGAAAUGCGUAGAUAUCAAGAGGAACACCAGUGGCGAAGGCGAGUCCCUGGACAAUACCUGACACUGAGGCACGAAAGCUAGGGAGCAAACAGG
rnacentral:rRNA from 1 species